rnacentral:lncRNA from 1 species
GAAAGUUCUCAAUAGAAGGUUAGGAGAUUUGAAGUUCCUCAGACUAUCAAUUGCAAUCUGCAACAGGCAAGGCAGGUUGAUCGCUAUUGAAAGGUCGUUAUUCCCGAUUUCGCCACCAAGGGGUAGUUCCUCUCAUGGUACACGGGUCUUCUGUGGGCCUUUUUCGCGGGUCUCUCAAAUUCUGCCCAUAAGAGAAACAAAAACCACUUCAGAUAAAAGCGAAAGUAUGGUCCUAAGGCAGAAUCGUUUUCCUCUGUAAGCCGCUCUCUGCAACUUCCAGCGUUGCAUCGACAUGAUUCCUUGGAAGAGGGGUCAGCCUGGAUAAACGUAGAAACUGGAUCGGACGGAUAGCACUCGCCAGUCAUUUUUCAGAGAGGUGGAAAAAACUUGAGGGGUUCUUGGGAGUGUCGAUCGUUUUGCAGAGACAUCGGAAUGCACAACAGCCACGUUUCAAUCAGGUUGUUACGGGUUCUGAACGUGGACAGAUUUUGCGACACAACAGCCGUGGGGCCGAACUCAUGUCUAACUCUUCCUUUCAUUUGUGGGUUGAGCUUUCUUCUAUGAACUUCAGAGAGAGCCUUGCCGCACUCGACUCUACAAGGCCAUUUGUAUUCAGGCCCCCGUCGGCCAUGGGCAACUAUAACAUCGGCGGCGCUGCCCUACAAAUGCGGCUCCUAUUGAACACGGGAGUCGACGCUCUAGCGAAGGACGUGUUUUUCCGUUGCGCUCAACCUUUAGGUAAGCAGCCUCAGCGUGCGUAUUGCGGAUUCGACAUUUAAACCCGCGCGACCACGCUGACCUUUUCUAGCACCCCCGUUCGACCAGAAGCGGCUUUCUUUGGUGCCAGAGUGAGCGCUCCACGAUACUUCCCGUUUCAGCUUAUUGGAAAACAGUUCUCGUUAAAAUACGGCAGCAGGACCAUAUCUCUGCUUCGGAGGUUUUGCAACGCAAGCUGCCUUGACGGAUCGAACAACACAGGCCACGCGCGCCGUCCUGCACUCGAGAUCGGUUUCGCGUUCUACGUCCUUUGUUUACAUCUUGUACCGUUACAUUUGGGAGCAGA